AUUGAACGCUGGCGGCAUGCCUUACACAUGCAAGUCGAACGGCAGCACGGGAGCAAUCCUGGUGGCGAGUGGCGAACGGGUGAGUAAUAUAUCGGAACGUGCCCAGUCGUGGGGGAUAACGCAGCGAAAGCUGUGCUAAUACCGCAUACGAUCUACGGAUGAAAGCGGGGGAUCGCAAGACCUAGCGCGAUUGGACAGGCCGAUAUCAGAUUAGCUAGUUGGUGAGGUAAAGGCUCACCAAGGCGACGAUCUGUAGCUGGUCUGAGAGGACGACCAGCCACACUGGAACUGAGACACGGUCCAGAUUCCUACGGGAGGCAGCAGUGGGGAAUUUUGGACAAUGGGCGCAAGCCUGAUCCAGCAAUGCCGCGUGCAGGAUGAAGGCCUUCGGGUUGUAAACUGCUUUUGUACGGAACGAAACGGCGAGCUCUAAUACAGUUUGCUAAUGACGGUACCGUAAGAAUAAGCACCGGCUAACUACGUGCCAGCCGCCGCGGUAAUAC
rnacentral:rRNA from 1 species